UACGGGGGGAGCAAGCGUUGUUCGGAUUUACUGGGCGUAAAGGGCGCGUAGGCGGCCACCGCAAGUCGACUGUGAAAUCUCCGGGCUUAACCCGGAAAGGUCAGCCGAUACUGCGGGGCUAGAGUGCAGAAGGGGCAACUGGAAUUCUCGGUGUAGCGGUGAAAUGCGUAGAUAUCAGGAAGAACACCCGUGGCGAAGGCGGCUCUCUGGGACGGUACUGACGCUGAGACGCGAAAGCGUGGGGAGCGAACAGG
rnacentral:rRNA from 1 species